UGUCAUAAACCCGUAGAUCCGAUCUUGUGGCAAAUCUGGCAACCCAAGCUCGCUUCUGUGGGUCUCUGUCAC
rnacentral:pre_miRNA from 1 species